UCAGGAUGAACGCUGGCGGCGUGCCUAAUACAUGCAAGUCGAACGAACUUCCGUUAAUUGAUUAUGACGUACUUGUACUGAUUGAGAUUUUAACACGAAGUGAGUGGCGAACGGGUGAGUAACACGUGGGUAACCUGCCCAGAAGUAGGGGAUAACACCUGGAAACAGAUGCUAAUACCGUAUAACAGAGAAAACCGCAUGGUUUUCUUUUAAAAGAUGGCUCUGCUAUCACUUCUGGAUGGACCCGCGGCGUAUUAGCUAGUUGGUGAGGUAAAGGCUCACCAAGGCAGUGAUACGUAGCCGACCUGAGAGGGUAAUCGGCCACAUUGGGACUGAGACACGGCCCAGACUCCUACGGGAGGCAGCAGUAGGGAAUCUUCCACAAUGGACGCAAGUCUGAUGGAGCAACGCCGCGUGAGUGAAGAAGGGUUUCGGCUCGUAAAGCUCUGUUGUUAAAGAAGAACGUGGGUAAGAGUAACUGUUUACCCAGUGACGGUAUUUAACCAGAAAGCCACGGCUAACUACGUGCCAGCAGCCGCGGUAAUACGUAGGUGGCAAGCGUUAUCCGGAUUUAUUGGGCGUAAAGCGAGCGCAGGCGGUCUUUUAAGUCUAAUGUGAAAGCCUUCGGCUCAACCGAAGAAGUGCAUUGGAAACUGGGAGACUUGAGUGCAGAAGAGGACAGUGGAACUCCAUGUGUAGCGGUGAAAUGCGUAGAUAUAUGGAAGAACACCAGUGGCGAAGGCGGCUGUCUGGUCUGCAACUGACGCUGAGGCUCGA
rnacentral:rRNA from 1 species